rnacentral:snRNA from 1 species
AUAUUUACCUGUUUCUGCGGUCUCGUUCAUCACCGAGGACGAGCCCCCAGGGUGAGCCACGGACCUUGCACUGCGCUCGCGUUGACCCCUUCCACUGCUGCAAACUGCGGCACAUUGAGCACGCAAAUCAUUUUAAUCUGGUUCCACGCAGA